AAUUCACUAGUUUUCUAGUGUCGGGGGGCCUCGAAGCAUUUUACAACGCUGAGAGGUCCCUGUCUGCACCCUUGUCUAUUGCGCACUCUCGUUUCCUCGGUGGGCUUGCCCACCGAUAGGACAACUUUAAACCCUUUUAAUUUUCAAUCAGCGUCUGAAAACAAUAAUAAUUA
rnacentral:misc_RNA from 1 species